rnacentral:misc_RNA from 1 species
GUGAAUCAUCGAAUCUUUGAACGCACAUUGCGCCCGCUAGUAUUCUAGCGGGCAUGCCUGUUCGAGCGUCAUUUCAACCCUCAAGCUCUGCUUGGUGUUGGGGACCCGCCGACCUCUCCGGAGGAGAGGCGAUCCCCCAAAGACAGUGGCGGACCUACUGGUGUCUUUCCCCUUGCGUAGUAGUUUCUCUUACGAGCGCACUGGGACCCGGUGGUGUUCUUGCCGUUAAACCCCCAAUUUUUCUAUGGUUGACCUCGGAUCAGGUAGGAAUACCCGCUGAACUUAAGCAUAUCAAUAAGCGGAGGA